rnacentral:rRNA from 1 species
GUCCAGACUCCUACGGGAGGCAGCAGUGGGGGAUAUUGCACAAUGGGGGGAACCCUGAUGCAGCGACGCCGCGUGGGUGAAGGAGCGUUUCGGCGCGUAAAGCCCUAUCGGCAGGGAAGAAGGAGGAAGGGACCUGACUAAGAAGCCCCGGCUAACUACGUGCCAGCAGCCGCGGGAAUACGUAGGGGGCAAGCGUUAUCCGGAUUUACUGGGUGUAAAGGGGGCGCAGACGGCAGCGCAAGCCAGGAGUGAAAGCCCGGGGCCCAACCCCGGGACUGCUCUUGGAACUGCGCGGCUGGAGUGCAGGAGGGGCAGGCGGAAUUCCUGGUGUAGCGGUGAAAUGCGUAGAUAUCAGGAGGAGCACCGGUGGCGAAGGCGGCCUGCUGGACUGCGACUGACGUUGAGGCCCGAAAGCGUGGGGAGCAAACGGGAUUAGAUACCCUCGUAAA